GACGGAGGAUGCAAGCGUUGUCCGGAUUUAUUGGGCGUAAAGCGUCCGCAGGCGGUUUGGUAAGUCAUUUGUAAAAUCUUCGGGCUCAACCCGAAAUCUGCAAGUGAUACUGCUAAACUAGAGGAUGGGAGAGGUGCACGGAAUUGUCGGUGUAGGGGUAAAAUCCGUUAAUAUCGACAAGAACACCGAAAGCGAAGGCAGUGCACUGGAACAUUCCUGACGCUCAGGGACGAAAGCGUGGGUAGCGAAUGGG
rnacentral:rRNA from 1 species